rnacentral:rRNA from 1 species
GGAGGCAGCAGUGGGGAAUUUUCCGCAAUGGGCGAAAGCCUGACGGAGCAAUACCGCGUGAGGGACGACGGCUUUUGGGUUGUAAACCUCUUUUCCCUGGGAAGAAGAUCUGACGGUACCAGGGGAAAUUCAGCAUCGGCUAACUUCGUGCCAGCAGCCGCGGUAAUACGAGGGAUGCAAGCGUUAUCCGGAAUUAUUGGGCGUAAAGCGUCCGCAGGUGGCUCUGUAAGUCUGUCGUUAAAGAAUGGGGCUCAACCCCAUACAGGCGAUGGAAACUACAAGGCUAGAGUUUGGUAGGGGUCACGGGAAUUCUUAGUGUAGCGGUGAAAUGCGUAGAUAUUAAGAAGAACACCAGCGGCGAAAGCGCGUGACUGGGCCAGUACUGACACUCAUGGACGAAA